AUGGCUAAGUACUGGUGGGGCAGUUCGAUCGACAAGCGCUCGCUACACUGGCUCUCAUGGGAUAAGCUCGAGGUGCCUAAAGUAAAAGGUGGUAUGGGUUUUUGCAACAUGCAGUCCUUCAACCUCGCUAUGCUUGGGAAACACGGUUGGCGUCUUCUUACAAGACCGGACUCUUUAUGUGCUAGGGUACUGAAAGGAAAAUACUACCCUCACACAGAUUUUCUCAAUGCAACAAUUCUGGCCAAAGCGUCGGCAACCUGGAAGGCAAUAGUGGCAGGAGGAGAU
rnacentral:rRNA from 1 species